CCAUUGUUUGCUGUUUGUGCUAAAGGAUGUGUGUAUUGGGACUGUCAUACGUACUUUCGGAACAGCAUCAUUAAGUCAGUCCACAGAUUUUUACUUUGCAAAAUUCAUCUUUCGUGUACCACCAAGCCAAGUCUCGGGCAGCUGCUGCUGAAGGAUAAUGAAAGGCUCACAAGAGAUUUGACUGCUUUUGUAUGAGGGCUGGAACAACAGGUUCAUUUUGUUCCAAUAGAAAUGCUCGACAAGUCUUGCAACAGCUGUGCAGAAAGGGAGAGACAAAGGUGUCCCAACACUCAACAGGACCCAGUAGUCGAUAGGGUCCAAGAAGGGCCUGAAUCCAAAUGAACAUUGACUGCAGCAGAAUCAUUUAAAAGACAAUCAGGCUCCAUAUCGCUCCAAGCAGAAGAUAGAACAGUUCCUGGGAAAUACU